GCCACCCUGAGACCAGCUCCUCUUCCCAGACCAACACCCUUGAUGACUUAGAUUUUCCUCAAGAAGAAAUUCUGCUCAAUCCACUUCCAAGGAGCAGCCUGCAGCGUGUCCCUGGGCAGCGCCGAGGCGGCCAUCUGGUUCACCCAGACUCUUUCUUCACAUCAGGGGAUGUGCCCGGCUGCCAGCUAGCCUCACCUUUCCAGGACUCUCCCUUUCUUGGCCCACACGCCGCCCUGUGAUACGCCGGGUGCUGUAAAUGAGGGUGGCGGGGCGUGCUCUCGGGUUUACUGGAAGUGAAGCUGUUAAAAGCAGUGUAGUAAACAGCCAGCCCAGUCAGCACACGUCAGCAGAGGUGGCGCCGGCCUCGGGCCAGAGCCCUGAAAGCUGUCACCUGCCGGGCAGCCUCACCUGCCCGCACUGGCCCCAUUUGGGUCGCCUGGCCAGUUCUCAACGAAUGAGAACAGUUUGCUCAUAAAAUCAGUUCAGCAAGAGUUCACAGAGGACUGUGUCAUUUACUGGGAAAAAGAGGUGAAAGUUCCUCAUUAGGGAUGUGAGGGUGGGGCUCAAACUGGCUUCUUUAAAAUACCAGUAAGAAAGAAAGAAAGAAAGAAAGAAAAUGUCAGUAAGAAAUAAAAUAUCAGUAAGAAAUAAAUAAAAUAAAAUAUCAGCAAGAAAGAAAUAGAAUAUCAGUAAGAAAUAAAAUAUCAGUAAGAAAUAAAUAAAAUAAAAUAUCAGCAAGAAAGAAAUAAAAUAUCAAAAAGGGAGAAAUAAACUAUCAGUAAGAAAGAGAAUGUGGGGGCAAAGCAUUAAAGCAAUAAAGGGUGACGGGGGCUUCCCUCUGUCCCUCAGCUCCCCGUCCUUGCCCCCUGCCCAGGACAGUGUCGAUGGGUGAGCGGCCGUGCCGUGGGUGCAGCGGGAAAUGCCGACGCUGCGAAUAAUCACAGAAGCCAUGAAAACAGCUUCCACCCACUGAAACCUCAGCUCAGAGGCAAGGAGUCUGCCAGCCCCUGCCUCGCCUCUCGCCCAGAACAGUCCCUGCCACCCAUGGAGCAGCGACUGUGUGUCUUCGAUGCCGCCCCUGGGAGCCACACGUGCUGAGACCCUGUGGGUGGCACUGACUGAGGCCGGUUGAGGGAGGGGCCAAGUGGGAGAGGUCCCUGAAAGGGAACGGGAGGGUGGUCAGAAGCACCCUCACUCCCGCAUCUAAAGUGCGUUUAGAUAGGACCUGGGCUCCAGGUGGCGUUGUGUCAGCAGCGCACACGCUGCAGAGAGCCAUGCUCCCCGGUGCAGGUCUGCUGGGCAACCCUUUGGGGGAGGGGUCCCCAGCACCCAAAACAGGGCUCCCUGAAGACCAGCGGUCCCUGAUGGGUAAGAGUCAGGCCCCCCGAGAGCAGGAACAUCCCUGGACGCGUCCCAGAGCCCAUACGGUGCCAGCACAGGAGCUGCAUGUGCCGUGCUGGCAGGAGCUGCGUGUGCCAGGCUGGUGGGAGCUGCGUGUGCCAGGCUGGUGGGAGCUGCGUGUGCCAGGCUGGUGGGAGCUGCGUGUGCCAUGCUGGCGGGAGCUGAGAGGGCCAGGCUGGCAGGAGCUGCGUGUGCCAUGCAGGUGGGAACUGCAAGAUUGAGCAAGACAAUCAGGACGUGCUCUGGGCCUGCGAGCUCCCGGGCACAGAGACGGGAUUGGGGUCUGACUCACAGGCCUCGGCCACACCUCCCAGGGCCUGCGUCUGACAGCUGGAGAUUACAGCUCAGUGCAGGGCUGACCUUCGUCUGCACUCGCUCCCAGCGGCAGGCAUCUCGGGAGAGAGAGCCAGGCUUCCCCAGCCUGACCCGAGGGAGCAGGGAGCGUUGGCAGCCGUCCCGCGGCCCGCACUGCGGGGGGCAGGUUCUGGGAGCAGACACCUGUCCUUUUGUUUCCCAAGUUCAGGCUGUCCUUGUCCACUAAGCUCUCAGGAAUGUGCGAUGCUGGUCUCCAGGUGGCUGAGCUCCAGCCCCGCCAGGCCCCGGCGGGAGGAUGGGGCAGCCCCGAGCCCUGCAGGACGGUGAGGAGCCCUAGGCCGGCCCUGCGCCUGCGGCUGUCCCAGAGCCACGAGCCCUCCCGGGAAAAGCGGCGAGGAGUGCCACUCAGGCCCGCCAGCUCGUCCUGCCUCUGCGAGGAGCACGGCAGAAAGGAGUGUGGCCAUCAAACGACUAAGAGUGUCUCUGGCCAUGGACUUAUGUGUCAGCAGACACUCCCUCUGAACAUGAGCUUUACAGGCCGGCCCGCGCCGGGACCCCCGAAUCCAUCGGUGAUUUCCUGUCGUUUGGGAACCCACUACAGAUGUCUUCUGUGGACCAACUUAGAUCAGUGAUGGCGAACCUAUGACACGCGUGUCAGAGGUGACACGCGAGCUCAUUUUUUGGGUUGAUUUUUCUUUGCUAAAUGGCAUUUAAAUAUAUAAAAUAAAUAUCAAAAAUAUAA